UACAGAGGUCUCAAGCGUUGUUCGGAAUCACUGGGCGUAAAGGGUGCGUAGGCGGCGUGGUAAGUCAGAGGUGAAAUCCCGGAGCUCAACUUCGGAACUGCCUCCGAUACUGCCGUGCUUGAGGACUGGAGAGGAGUCUGGAAUUCACAGUGGAGCAGUGAAAUGCGUAGAUAUUGUGAGGAACACUAGUGGCGAAGGCGAGACUCUGGACAGUUCCUGACGCUGAGGCACGAAGGCCAGGGGAGCAAACGGGG
rnacentral:rRNA from 1 species